rnacentral:miRNA from 1 species
AAUAUUUUUGAAGAGUCUGAGCAA